rnacentral:rRNA from 1 species
GACGGAGGGUGCAAGCGUUGUUCGGAAUUACUGGGCGUAAAGGGCGCGUAGGCGGUUUGCUAAGUUCGGUGUGAAAGCCCCUGGCUCAACUGGGGAACGGCGCUGGAAACUGGCAGACUAGAGUACCGGAGAGGAGGGUGGAAUUCCUGGUGUAGCGGUGAAAUGCGUAGAUAUCAGGAGGAACACCGGUGGCGAAGGCGGCCCUCUGGACGGAUACUGACGCUGAGGCGCGAAAGCGUGGGGAGCAAACAGG